rnacentral:rRNA from 1 species
AAAAGGUAGCCCCUGCUCCAUGACUGUGAAUAGCCGCAGUAUUUUGACUGUGCUAAGGUAGCAUAAUAAUUUGCCCCUUAGUUGGGGGCUGGUAUAAGCGGGGAGACGAUGCCCCACCUUUUUUGACGUUAGUGCGUUAAUUUGAUGUUUGCGUCAAAAAGCGCAACUUAUUGGGAAGACGAUAAGACCCCGUAAAACUUCACCUGAGUCUGGAGGCGAUAUUUAGGUGAGCGGCUCUGGCGGGGGUUGAGCUGGGGCGGCAUUCAAAGAACCUUGACAGAAAUAACACGCAUGCGUGAGUAGGCGGAUCUGGCACAGAGGUGGAACAAGUUACUUCGGGGAUAACAGCGCAAUUCUCUUGGAUAGAUCUUAUAGAUGGGGGGGACUUGCGACCUCGAUGUUGAAUUGAGGGGCCCGAAUCGAGCAGAAACGAUUGCGGGGGGUCUGUUCGAUCUGUUAAACCUC